UCAGUUUAUGUAUCUUUGUCUCCCAGUUACAUUUAUGAUUCUGAUUAUUUUUAUGUAAGAAGUUCUGUUUAAAAUUGUAUUUGACUUUGAAAAUAUAUUAGGACUAGAUCAUAACCCGUGCUGUAUAGCACGGGCAUUAAUAUUUUGUAUAAAUUACAUUGUAUACUUUGUUAUGUUUGUUAUGUUUAUCAAAAUUAUUUGUUAUAUUUGUCAAAAUUUAGUAAAAUAUAUUCAAAUAUAAUUAAAUUUAUUAAAACUUAAUAAAUUUAAAAGUUUUUUUUGUUUAGAGACGCACUAUCUACAUACAAAAUACUCGUUUCUAUUUUUUUGAGUAUUUUUAGGGCCUGAAACUUUUUAUCCAAACUGACCCAAACCCAACUGGACCCGACCCGAACCGAAUAUUUAGAAUUAUUCUAUUAGGUAGUAAAUCAUAUACCCAUUAAUCCCAAACCCGAACGGGUUCUACCCGAACUCGAAUGGGUUACUCAUAUGCCCAGCCCUAUUCUCUGAUUUAAUUAUCUAAAAAAUCCCAAUAAAACAUAUGUUUUGUUGAAUACCUUUUAUUCAAAAAAAUUUACAUCCUCUUCUGCCAAAAUCAUUUCAUAAGACAUCCCAAAACCCUUGGAAUAAUGAUUCUAUGAAUGAAGAAUCCUAAUUUGAAUAUACCAAGAGGUUUUGAAAGGUUUUAAGUUUUUGAUAGGUGUGUAUGUGAGAAGGUACAUCCAUCGUGAUGGUAAUCUGCUUAUUUAUAAUUUUAACUUGCAUUAUACAGCAGGUAGGCUUAUAUUUUAGUUAAACUAAAAACUUUUAUUGUAAAGUUGAUUACAAAUAUAUGAUAUUAUUUUAUUUGAUUUUAAAUGUAUAGUAAACUGCUAGUUGUAUAUGUUUUGUUGAUAUUAUUUAUAUUGUUUAAUGUUUAAAAUUAUAUACUUGUAUUUUGAUUGUUAAUUUUAGAGUUUCACCUGUACUAUACCAUCUUGUAUUAAUAUUGAUUUAAACCCGUCAAUUCUAGGAUUUUCCAACUUGUAUUAAAAAUUGAAUCACAUCAUACACAUUAAAAAAUCUAAUAUGUUAUUAAUUAUUUUAGUAUAU
rnacentral:sRNA from 1 species